GCGGUGGAGUAUGUGGUUUAAUUCGACGCAACGCGAAGAACCUUACCAGGUCUUGACAUUGAUGGACAGAACUAGAGAUAGUUCCUCUUCUUCGGAAGCCAGAAAACAGGUGGUGCACGGUUGUCGUCAGCUCGUGUCGUGAGAUGUUGGGUUAAGUCCCGCAACGAGCGCAACCCCUAUCUUAUGUUGCCAGCACUUCGGGUGGGAACUCAUGAGAGACUGCCGCAGACAAUGCGGAGGAAGGCGGGGAUGACGUCAAAUCAUCAUGCCCCUUAUGACCUGGGCUACACACGUACUACAAUGGGAGUUAAUAGACGGAAGCGAGAUCGCGAGAUGGAGCAAACCCGAGAAACACUCUCUCAGUUCGGAUCGUAGGCUGCAACUCGCCUACGUGAAGUCGGAAUCGCUAGUAAUCGCAGGUCAGCAUACUGCGGUGAAUACGUUCCCGGGCCUUGUACACACCGCCCGUCACACCACGAAAGUCGGAAGUGCCCAAAGCCGGUGGGGUAACCUUCGGGAGCCAGCCGUCUAAGGUAAAGUCGAUGAUUGGGGUGAAGUCGUAACAAGGUAGCCGUAUCGGAAGGUGCGGCUGGAUCACCUCCUUUCUAGGGAGA
rnacentral:rRNA from 1 species